rnacentral:misc_RNA from 1 species
AAAAUGGCUGUAAUUUCAAAACACGGGGUGCUUCAAGUAGGAACCAAGAGAGCUGGCGGGUGGUGGAAGCCAGCUUCCGAAACUCCGGCACCAUCAAUGUGGGCGGGUAAUGCCGCACGGUCUGGUGGCCGUUAUUCACCAUAGAGCGUGCUGAUUUCAGCAAACUUGGGUGGUACCGCGGAACAAGAGCCAUUUCGUCCCAACU